AAUGGUUACCUUUAAAAUAAUUCAACCUGUAAUUUCGAAAUCACGUAAUUUUCAAUUGAUUGGUUGAAAAGUAAAUGAUAAAUCAUUUGAUAUUACAGCAAAUGUCCUGUAACAAAAAGGAGCAGGACAUGUACUGUAGCUUUACUGGUGGAAGCAUUAUUUUUAAGUGAGAACUUUAUUUACAGGCUGGUUUGAAUUUUAGGACUGUAAAAUUCGAGUGAUUGUGGCCAGUGUUUGUGGCACCACACACAAAAUUUCGAGGCUCAACUUAUUAAAAAUAUUCGGUUACUUCCAGUUAGCAAAAAUUAAAUAUUUUUUUACUGUCAAGUUAGCACUUCCUCAUCGAAUCUGGUUGGUUGCUCUAUUUGAGUAAAAAUAACCCAUUUGCUACUAAUUUUAGUAAUAAAUGUUAGCAUGGACACAAACCGUUGUCAUUUUCUGGUUUCAUUUGUUUUUGUUUUUCCUGCGUUCGGUCGGUCCGGUCGGUCGGUUCGGUUGCGAUUUUUAAACGGGAAAAAAGUGAUGAAAAGAAAAGUUCCACCUAAAAAAACUUCAAUAGUGGACAAUCGGCAUUAAGGUAGGGAGCGCAUCCUACCAGCAUGCGAAGAUAAAAUCUCAUCUCAUCCGAGGACUUACUGGUUAACAAAAUCAGAAGGUGAUUCUUUUUGCUGUACCCGGGAAGUUCUGCCCAGGUACGCCGAGAAAGCGGCUCAUUUGAAAUCGACAUGAGUGGAGAAAUUUUCGAUCAACGAAAGUCAAGCGGCAAGGCCUACAAAGUCGCUGGAAAGGUGAGUCCCAUUUACUGUGUUCAAAAUAAUCGGACACCGAAAUCCUUCCUCUGGGAGGUUGCUACUAUAGAGAGGUAGUACCAUUCGAUUAAUGCAAUCUGAUGGUAUUGGUUUGUCUUGCUUCCCAAAAAACUAUAAUGCAGGAUACGAAAUCAAACUUCCGGAUGAGAAAAAAAGGAUAACAAAUUUAGAAAUACGUUGGGCCAAUUGAUACUAGCGAGAUUUAUGUAAGUUAUUGAUUUUGAAAUCUUUACUCUACCGUUUUUUUUAGAUAGAACAUAGCGGAUAAGGAACUGAAUGCGCUGCCAAGAAAGGCGGAAAUCUAAAGAAGAGGACGGAAACGCCCGAAAGCUGCACGGAUAUAUACGUUAUGAUUACUACUUUCUGAGGGUUGGAAUCAUCUUCUGGUUUGACGAGCGAUCUUCUUGCAUGGAAAUAGCGAAGACUAAAGAGGGUCGCAAGAAGACGGCGGUAAAAGGAUAAUCAAACAAAACCCUUACUGUACCAGAUUCGGACCAGGCUUGACGUAGCUCUGCGGCGGCUUACAAUGCUUCGAACGCAAAUAGUUGCGAGAAAAAUUAAAUGGACUAAACUAAUCAGUUACCGAAUCGGCUAAAAUGACCAACAUUGAAAGGUCUGUUGCGCAGUGCCGAAUAACUGCUUCAUCGUUGAACGCAAAUAUGUGAUGUACAUUGCGGCAAUCAAUAUUGUUACGGACAAGUACCUCAUACGUGUAAUGAACGGGAGGAAAGGUUUAGGUGUGCGGAGGACAAUGAUGGGCAACUGGACACUAAGUUGAAAACAAAAUUGCAAUGGUAAGAAGAAUAAAAUGUGAUUUUAAUAUGAAAAAUAAAACUAAUGUUUAUUUAUUUUUCAAUUUUCAGGGUACCGUGAACCAGGUGAGCAGGUUCUUUGGUUUUCAUGAAACACCAUCUGCGAAUGUUUCGGCAAGCAUAGCGGAAGCUGUCAUUAUGCUUCUGUGCGGUUCCAUCCCCUCUUCAAUUCCACGCCAGAUGGAACUCAAAAUGUGAAAAUCUAAGUAAAUCCGGCGUGUACGUAAUAAAUUAAAAAUCAAUCCAAAAAAUGUAUUUCUCAUUUACUUAUUGGAAAAUCACAAUAAACCUUACACGGGUAAUUUAAAAUCUGAAUUUUACAAAAUUCUAGUAAUUUUAUGAAAUUUUCGGUUUUGCUCAAAUUUAUAAUGAAUCAAAACAAUAAAAUUACGUGCAGAUUAUUUUACUGGUCGCUGAAAUUACAGGUCGCUUGUAAUUACAGUUUGCUUGCAAUUACAGGUCGCCUGCAAUUACAGGCCUGUAAUUUUAAACUUGCCUGU